rnacentral:rRNA from 1 species
UACAGAGGUCCCAAGCGUUGUUCGGAUUCACUGGGCGUAAAGGGUGCGUAGGCGGUCGGGUAAGUCUGAUGUGAAAUCUCACAGCUUAACUGUGAAACUGCAUUGGAUACUAUUCGGCUUGAGAGUUGGAGGGGGGACUGGAAUUCUUGGUGUAGCAGUGAAAUGCGUAGAGAUGUGGAGGAACACCAAUGGCGAAGGCAGCCUUCUGGGCCAACACUGACGCUCAUGCACGAAAGCGUGGGGAGCAAACAGG